rnacentral:snRNA from 1 species
AUCGCUUCUCGGCCUUUUGGCUAAGAUAAAGUGUAGUAUCUGUUCUUAUCGUUUAAAAUGUGAAUCAUAAUAAUACUUGCUUAAAACAAUACUUUGAAAAUGAACUAUA